rnacentral:lncRNA from 1 species
CUCCUCUGCUGGGCCCGGGAUAAGAGAGGAAAGCUCUGCUCACAUGUUUCUAGCUCCUGACUCUGAGGGACUGGGAAAUAGGACAGUAUGAAGGAUGCCAUGGGAGCAAGGAGCAUACUUGAACCCCCAGCAGCUAGCACAGUACCCAGCAUAUAGUAAGCUCCUGGUCAAGAAUGUUGGCAGAGGCGCCUCAAGAAACACCUGCCUUCCACUCAUGAGCUGAAAUGUCAUUGCUGAAAGCGAGGCAGAUGAGUGGAAGUGGAAAGACCUGGGGCUGUGGGCGUCCUCGUGACCAGCCUGGCAAGGCCCACGCCUGCCCCAUGGAGACUCUGGGGCAGCCUUUGCAGAAGCAAACACUAUCAUCAGGUUUGCAUGAGUUCUGCUCCCUUGUUUUCUCUGCCUCUCGACUACCCACUUUAUUUCAGCCCUGCGGUGAAUUAUAUGUUUGGAGCAGAAGUAGGGGAGAACUCAGCCCCUUAGGAGUCAUGAGACUGUAAGAGGAUGCAUACUGCAGGGUACUUUUUCAGCUGAGAAACAGAAAACAUGGUCUGCUUUUUAAAUCUUACAAACAUACAGGUAAAGUCAACACGUACUUGUUGAUGUGGGGCUUUUGUAACCCAGCAACGUGUAGCAGCAAUCUGCCAGGAUACGCUGAAGCCCCAAUCCUGGGGAGCCACGCGCCAGCCAAGCGAAGAGCGGCUCCCUCUCCACGUCUCGACGUUAAUUCCUCCUUGGUGACACCUGCUUGGUAGAGUAAGGAAAAGGCCUGGAUUUUGCUAAUUUUAUUGUUUCUUAGUUACUAAACAGAAUGAGAUGUAGUCUCUGAAUAAGGGCCUGCCCCGGCUUUGCAGGAACUACAUGUGAAACCCAGGGCCCUGUGCUAAAAAAUGUCCAGCUUGUUUCUCAUCAAGUCACCUUACCUAUCUCAGCACCUGCACAGGCAACGGGACUGCCUGGACAUGCCCACCACUGUUAGGUCAGGUGUCCCUGAAAAGCUCCAUCAAAACACUUUGAAAGAGUGAACACAGCUUCCAAAACUCACACGCCGUUAUGAGCCAUGAGAGAAACUGCUUCCGUUUGACUAACGAGCAACGGCCCGUGCUCUUUUUGUUCCCAUUGCCAACAUUUGCCCCACCUGAGGUAAUUCACUGCUAUUAUCCUGGGGGUUUUCAGUUACCCUCUCUGUGCUGUGUGCUUGAUGGAAGGUGGCAGGGGACUGAGUCCAGGGGAGCUCCUGUUGAGAUGCAGAGAGUUGAAGUGAGCGGGCAGAUGGCCACACAGACUCCCAAUCCUCUGGGGUUCACUGGCCAAAAAAAGGUCAAGUCCAGGCUGAGUCACACGCAGAGAGCAAUUUUACUUUUGUU